GACGAACGCUGGCGGCGUGCUUAACACAUGCAAGUCGAACGGAAAGGCGAUGAGUUUGUGGGGUGGUCGAGUGGGGAAGGGGGGAGUAAAACGUGAGGAAACUGUCCUUGACUUUGGGAGAACUUCAGGAGAAUGGGGAGAAUACAGGAGAGGAGAUCCUGAUGCAGGGGGUGGGUUGGAAAGAGUCGGUGGUGGGGGAUGGAAUCGCGGCUUAUGAGCUGGAUGGUGGGGUAGGGGCUUACCAAGGCUUUGACGGGUAGCCGGCGUGAGAGGGUGACCGGCCACAUUGGGCCUACGAUACGGCCCAGACUCCUACGGGACGCAGCAGUGGGGAAUAUUGCACAAUAGGCCGAAGCCUGAUGCAGCAACCCCGCGUGCGGGAUGACGGCCUUCGGGUUGUAAACCGCUUUCGCCUGUGACGAAGCGUGAGUGACGGUAAUGGGUAAAGAAGCACCGGCUAACUACGUG
rnacentral:rRNA from 1 species